AGUCAACAGGAAAACUAUAGUAGAACGACCAACAGAUCUGAAAAACAGGAAGCUAACUUUGCCAAUGAAUAGAUCUUGGCCAAACAUGAAUGCAGCAAGUAAGCUAGAGUUAAACCACAGAGAAGGCAAGAGCAGAAAUAUUCCUGGAAAAACAUCUAAUUUUGAUAAACAUUUUGCAAAAGUGGGUGAGGAUGAAUCAGAACAUUCACGCGAUGUACCUGAUGAAGAACAGUAUCCCUAUGAUACUGUAAAAACUUCCAGCUUG